CUCCAGACUCCUACGGGAGGCAGCAGUGGGGGAUAUUGCACAAUGGGGGGAACCCUGAUGCAGCGACGCCGCGUGAGUGAAGAAGUAUUUCGGUAUGUAAAGCUCUAUCAGCAGGGAAGAAAAUGACGGUACCUGACUAAGAAGCCCCGGCUAACUACGUGCCAGCAGCCGCGGUAAUACGUAGGGGGCAAGCGUUAUCCGGAUUUACUGGGUGUAAAGGGAGCGUAGACGGUGAAGCAAGUCUGAAGUGAAAGGCGGGGGCUCAACCCCCGGACUGCUUUGGAAACUGUUUGACUGGAGUGCAGGAGAGGUAAGUGGAAUUCCUAGUGUAGCGGUGAAAUGCGUAGAUAUUAGGAGGAACACCAGUGGCGAAGGCGGCUUACUGGACGGCAACUGACGCUGAGGCUCGAAAGCGUGGGGAGCAAACAGGAUUAGAUACCCCCGUA
rnacentral:rRNA from 1 species